rnacentral:rRNA from 1 species
CCUUAACACCUGGCGGCGUGCCUAACACAUGCAAGUCGAGCGAGAAAGUGGAGCAAUCCAUGAAGUAAAGCGGCGCACGGGUGAGUAACACGUGACUAACCUACCCUCGAGUGGGGAAUAACUUCGGGAAACCGAGGCUAAUACCGCAUAACACCUACGGGUCAAAGAAGCAAUUCGCUUGGGGAGGGGGUCGCGGCCGAUUAGUUAGUUGGCGGGGUAAUGGCCCACCAAGACGAUGAUCGGUAUCCGGCCUGAGAGGGCGCACGGACACACUGGAACUGAAACACGGUCCAGACUCCUACGGGAGGCAGCAGUGGGGAAUUUUGCGCAAUGGGGGAAACCCUGACGCAGCAACGCCGCGUGGAGGAUGAAGUCCUUCGGGACGUAAACUCCUUUCGAUCGGGACGAUUAUGACGGUACCGGAAGAAGAAGCCCCGGCUAACUUCGUGCCAGCAGCCGCGGUAAUACGAGGGGGGCGAGCGUUGUUCGGAAUUAUUGGGCGUAAAGGGUGCGUAGGCGGUUUGGUAAGUCUUUUGUGAAAUCUCUGGGCUCAACUCA